rnacentral:rRNA from 1 species
UGGGGAAUUUUCCGCAAUGGGCGAAAGCCUGACGGAGCAAUACCGCGUGAGGGAUGACGGCCUGUGGGUUGUAAACCUCUUUUUUCAAGGAAGAAGCUCUGACGGUACUUGAAGAAUAAGCAUCGGCUAACUCUGUGCCAGCAGCCGCGGUAAUACAGAGGAUGCAAGCGUUAUCCGGAAUUAUUGGGCAUAAAGCGUCUGUAGGUUGCGUACCAAGUCUGCUGUUAAAGCCUAGGGCUUAACCCUAGAAAAGCAGUGGAAACUGUUACGCUUGAGUGUGGUAGAGGUAGAGGGAAUUCCUAGUGUAGCGGUGAAAUGCGUAGAUAUUAGGAAGAACACCAAUGGCGAAAGCACUCUGCUGGGCCAUUACUGACACUGAGAGACGACAGCUAGGGGAGCA